rnacentral:rRNA from 1 species
UACGUAGGGGGCAAGCGUUGUCCGGAAUCAUUGGGCGUAAAGCGCGUGUAGGCGGUUCGGUUAGUCUGCUGUGAAAGUCAGGGGCUCAACCCUUGAAUGCCGGUGGAUACUGUCGGGCUAGAGUGCGGAAGAGGCGAGUGGAAUUCCUGGUGUAGCGGUGAAAUGCGCAGAUAUCAGGAGGAACACCAAUUGCGAAGGCAGCUCGCUGGGACGUUACUGACGCUGAGACGCGAAAGCGUGGGGAGCAAACAGG